UACGGGGGGGGUAAGCGUUGUUCGGAAUUACUGGGCGUAAAGGGCUCGUAGGCGGCCAACUAAGUCAGACGUGAAAUCCCUCAGCUUAACUGGGGAACUGCGUCUGAUACUGGAUGGCUUGGAUUCGGGAGAGGGAAUGCGGAAUUCCAAGGUGUAGCGGUGAAAUGACGUAGAUAUCUGGAGGAACACCGGGUGGCGAAGGCGGCAAUUCUGGACCGACAUUGACGCUGAGGAGCGAAAGCCAGGGGAGC
rnacentral:rRNA from 1 species